GUGUCGUGAGAUGUUGGGUUAAGUCCCGCAACGAGCGCAACCCUUGAUCUUAGUUGCCAGCAUUCAGUUGGGCACUCUAAGGUGACUGCCGGUGACAAACCGGAGGAAGGUGGGGAUGACGUCAAAUCAUCAUGCCCCUUAUGACCUGGGCUACACACGUGCUACAAUGGACAGAACAAAGGGCUGCAAGACCGCAAGGUUUAGCCAAUCCCAUAAAUCUGUUCUCAGUUCGGAUCGCAGUCUGCAACUCGACUGCGUGAAGCUGGAAUCGCUAGUAAUCGCGGAUCAGCAUGCCGCGGUGAAUACGUUCCCGGGCCUUGUACACACCGCCCGUCACACCACGAGAGUUUGCAACACCCGAA
rnacentral:rRNA from 1 species